UUGAAAAUUUUCAACACUGCCUUCUAGUUCCUCCUAUAAUUCCAAUCUGACAAUAGCACUACACCGAGCAUAAACUGAUGAAAUAAUGUAAUAACUGUCCUUUUUACAAAAUCUCAUUGUUAUCUAUUGUAGAUAAUACAUUAAUAUUGUGCCCUCCCAGUCGUCUCUCCAGAAAAUCCAAAUUUUACCAGAACGGUUAACCAACG
rnacentral:lncRNA from 1 species